GCCCUUAGUAGCGGCGAGUGAAGCGGCAAAAGCUCAAAUUUGAAAUCUGGCGCCUUCGGUGUCCGAGUUGUAAUUUGAAGAUUGUAACCUUGGGGUUGGCUCUUGUCUAUGUUUCUUGGAACAGGACGUCACAGAGGGUGAGAAUCCCGUGCGAUGAGAUGCCCAAUUCUAUGUAAGGUGCUUUCGAAGAGUCGAGUUGUUUGGGAAUGCAGCUCUAAGUGGGUGGUAAAUUCCAUCUAAAGCUAAAUAUUGGCGAGAGACCGAUAGCGAACAAGUACAGUGAUGGAAAGAUGAAAAGAACUUUGAAAAGAGAGUGAAAAAGUACGUGAAAUUGUUGAAAGGGAAGGGUUUGAGAUCAGACUCGAUAUUUUGUGAGCCUUGCCUUCGUGGCGGGGUGACCCGCAGCUUAUCGGGCCAGCAUCGGUUUGGGCGGUAGGAUAAUGGCGUAGGAAUGUGACUUUACUUCGGUGAAGUGUUAUAGCCUGCGUUGAUGCUGCCUGCCUAGACCGAGGACUGCGAUUUUAUCAAGGAUGCUGGCAUAAUGAUCCCAAACCG
rnacentral:rRNA from 1 species